UUAGAAAAUCUAAUAGAGGUAUACCUUCUGUUAAUUUAAUUUCUGAUAAUCCAUCAUCCUUUAAUAUUGGAGGACUUUAUCAAGAUGAAAUUACAAAUGUUGUUUCUACACCUAAACAGUCAAAAAAAUUAGUGAUCGUUGAAGAGGUGAGAUCGGAACAUCGUAACCAUAUAGGAAAGAUGGCUGAAAUUAUGAAAGAAACAGAUUGAAUAAAGUUUCUUCUGCAAAAUUCACAAAAAUUCAAAAUCUAAAAAAAAAAAAAAGCAAAAGAAAUUGAAGCAACCAACAAAAUUUCAAGUUCAUAAGUUAAAUAUUCUUUUGAAGAUGAUUCUGAAGAAGGAGGAGGAGGUAUUUUUUGAAUUUUAUAAAUCAAGUCCAGAAUUUUGUACUUUUGGAUUUUGUAAUUUUAUUUUUCUGAAUUUUACUAUUGGCAGAUGUGUUGUACACUUAUUUAACACCUAUAGAUGUUGUAUUUUGUAAU
rnacentral:lncRNA from 1 species